AAUUUGACCGUCAUGCAGUUUUGUGACAACUUUGGAUUAAUAGCCUAAAGAUACCUUAGCUCAGUUCAAGCUUAUCAAAAUCUCAACAACAGUUGCUUUAAAUUGCUUUAUAGUGGAAGGUAAAGCUCACACAGUGUUAAGAGAGAAAACCCCUACAGUCAGGUGAGCCUCAAGAGGAGGGACUAGGUAACAGCAGGAAGGAAAAACGCAGUCAGAAAUACACUUUGUCAAGGCAGCCAUCCAGUUGGAGGUGGAGUGAAAGAGAAAGUAAAAAGAAGUGUGUAAGUGAGACGGGCAGUACCGCAGGCAGUCUCCCAGCAGCCUGAGCCUAUACCAGCGCAAUAAAUGGAUGCCCAAGGAUCACUUGCACUAUUUCUGUAUUCUAAAUCCAAACUGGGAGCUGUUUCCACAGGAGAAGGGCCGGAUAGCUGAAGGCUCUGCGGCCCACUUUACUUUUAGAAACUCCAGGAGCCACAAGUAAGCCAGUAGCCUGAGUGUGAAGUGCUGGACAAGAUUAAUAUGAUACUAUAAGGUCUUUAAGAUAUGAUGGGGCCUGAUUAUUCAAGACUUUAUAUGUAACUUAAAUUCUAAAUUCUUUAAUAGGGAGCCAAUGAAGCCAAUAUGUGGGAAAUAUCAGCUCUUGUUCUCAUCCCUGUUAAUACUUCUGUUGAAGCAUUUUGUAUUAGUUUGAGACUUUUCAGGGAACAUUUAGAAAAACCAGAUAAUAAUAAAUUACAGCAGUCUAGUUUAUGAAUAAUAAAAGCAUGAACUAGUUUUUUAGCAUCACUCUGAGAUGGGGUGUUUUCUAAUUUUAGUGACAUUACAUAGGUGAAAGAAAGCAGUCCUAGAUAUUUGUUUAAUGGGCACAUUGAAGGACACGUCCUGAUCA